UCUCUUUACUGUCUGUGUGUUCGUCGAUGCUCGUCUGUGUGGGGUGCCAUUUCCAGCUAAUAGAAUCUUUCCUUUCUCUCUUGACGUUGGGCACGACUUCUCUUGAGCGAUGGAGUUACUUCAGUGUAAGCCCACAUCGUUCAAGUCCCUAUUUCUGCAGUAUUUAUAUAUAAGAAACAGAGGCUUUAGCUUGUCCCUUCGGGGGCAUCCGAUAAAAUUGGAACGAUACAGAGAAGAUUAGCAUGGCCCCUGCGCAAGGAUGACACGCACAAAUCGAGAAAUGGUCCAAAUUUUUUUUUUUGGUUUUGUCAAAUUUCGUCUCGCGAUCUUUCCGUUCUUGGCUUUCCUCAGAACCCAGAUUCUUCUCCGAUUUCAGGGUUGAUGCGGAAAAGAUUAUAAGCGUUUCUUAAUCCGACAUAUUACAGCUUUCGAUAUACCAGGGAAAGGUGGAUGUCAAAAAGAUUCCAGUGAUCGGAAAUUUUUGUUAGGGCAACGAAGAACCUGAUGCAUUUUAUUGUUUCCGUCCCUGAUCAUGUUUCAAGGAUUUUUGUUUGACUGAAUUUAAUUGUUUCUCACACCAAAAACAAAAUCCUUUUAUAUAUAUAUAUAUAUAUAUCUAUCUGGUUCGGGAUCAAUGUAUUCCCUUGGCUCCAGAUAACUGUGAACUCUUUUAAUGCAAUACCAGCAACUUGACUUGGUUGAAACUGGCUCUGAUUUCUUCUUAGACAGGAUAAAUGACAUAAGGCGACCUGGCAUGUACCUAUCAUUGAAGGAUUGAAAAGGUCAUAGGACUUGUCUUGACAUACUAUAAUGUCUUGUAGGCUCUGUAAGGAGUGGAUUUCUAAAGACAUUUAAAGAUAAUUGGAAUUAUUUCCACUAGAAAUUCAUUGCACUCUGGUAGGAUCAUAAAAGGAGUACUGGUGAAGGCCUAUUUUCCAUCGGUUUUUAACAAUCCUGGGGUUCAAUGACACUUUUGGAUUCGGUUCUGCCAAAAUGAUAACGUGGUCAUUCUUAUUUUCACCUCAAUGAUAACGUGGGACUAUUCAUAGAACUCCCAUGUUUGUAUCAUUUAAAGUUCAUCUUAAAAAUCUGUGUCAUUUUUAUCUAUGUAUAUAGAAAGCCUGAAUUCUAGUCA